UCGCUGAAGCCACCGCGACAGGGGAAGUGGUCAGGGGACAGAUAUUCGACGUUGGCCCCCGCUACACUGGACUGGCAUACAUCGGAGAAGGCGCAUAUGGCAUGGUUUGCUCGGCCUACGAUACUAAGGCAAAGCAGAAGGUGGCGAUCAAGAAAAUCUCUCCUUUCGAGCACCAGACCUAUUGCCAGCGCACUCUGAGAGAGAUCAAGAUUCUGACUCGCUUCAAGCACGAGAAUGUUAUCAACAUUCAAGAUAUCAUAAAGGCGCCGACCAUCGACGACAUGAGAGAUGUGUA